GAACUUUUAAAAAUUUCUCUUUCAAGUUAUCUAACUUUGGGGAUUAGUAUUGUUUUUUAAAAGCAAAAUGUCAGGGGCUGGCCCUAUGGCCAAGUGGUUAAGUUCACGCGCUCCACUGCAGGCGGCCCAGUGUUUCGUUGGUUCGAAUCCUGGGCGCCGACAUGGCAUUGCUCAUCAAACCACUCUGAGGCAGCGUCCCACAUGCCACAACUAGAAGGACCCACAACAAAGAAUAUACAACUAUGUACUGGGAGGCUUUGGGGAGAAAAAGGAAAAAAGAAAUCUUUAAAAGCAAAAUGUCAUAAUUUUCUGUUCUUAAUGUAAUAGUGUAGAAAUUUUUAAACAUUUAUUUUGAUAUAAUUUAAAGUUUACAGAGACAUUGCCAGAAUAAAGCAAAGAAUUCUCAUAUAUUUCUUACCAAGAUUCACCAAUUGUUAAUGCUUUUGCUCCAGUUACUCUGUCAUUCACUUUCUUUAUAAACAUGUUUUCUAUCUUUUGAAAGUGGUUGCAGAUAUCACACCUCCCUACUCCUAAAUACUUGAGUGUGUUUUUCUUAAGAACAAAGACAUUCUCUUGCAUAGCCAGUGAAAUGACCCAAAUCAGAAAAUACAACAUUGAUACAUUAGUACUACUUUGUCCUGGGCCAGCCCUGGUGGCCUAGUGGUUAAGUUCAGUGCACUCUGCUUCAGUGGCCCCGGUUCAGUUCCUGGGUGCCUACCUACACAACCCAUCUGUCAGUGGCCAAGCUGUAGUGGUAGCUCACAUACAAAAAGAGGAGGAAAAGUGGCAGCAAAUGUUAGCUCAGGGCGAAUCUUCCUCAGCAAAAGAAAAAAUAGUAUUACUUUGUCCAGAGCACAUAUUUGACUUUUAUCCAUUAUUCCAGUAACGUUCUAUAUAAUUAUUUUUCCUGGGCUAAGAUUCCCAGGAUUAUGAAUUACACUGAGUUGUCCUGUUCCUUGAGCGUCCUUUAAUUUGGAAUAAUGCCUCUGUCUUCUUUUUUCUCUCAUAACGUUGGCAGUUUUAAAAGUGCCUAUUAUUUGGUAGGAUGUCCCUCAGUUUGGGUUUAUCUGAUGUUUCCUCUGAUUAGAUUCAGGUUAUGCAUGUUGGGCAGGGAAACAGAUGUGAUAUUGUGGUCUUCUCAGGACAUCACACCAGGAAGCACGUGAUGUUGGUUUGUCCCUUUAUUGGGGGAUAUUGGCUAUAAUCAUGUGGCUAUGAUGGUUCUGCUAGGUUUCUCCGCUGUAAAGUCACCAUUUCCCCCUUAGCAAUUAGUAGGUAAUUUGUGGAGAGAUACUUUGAGGCUAUGUAACUAUUCUUUAUUCCCCAAACUUUCACCUACUCUAAGCAUUCACUGAUAAUUUUUGCUUAAGUCAAUUUUUAUUAUAAUGGUUGCAAAAUGGCGACUUUCUAACUCUACCAUUCUGCCCACAUUUAUUAGCUGACAUUCUACCUAAAGUGAUAACAUUUCCUCCUCCCACCCCACCCUCAUUUAGUUUAAAUUUAUUUAUUUAUAUUUGUAUGGAUUCAUGGAUUCUUAUUGUAUCCAUAGAGUCUUCUUAAAAUUAACCUAUUCAUUGAAUCUGUUACCACCAUCAUUUUAAGCAUUCUUUUUUCAUUAUUUUCACACUUAGGGUAAACUUUCCUUUUCUGGGAGUAGUUUUAUCUCAAUCCUCUCUUAUCAUUCUUGUGCAUUUUUUCAGGACCCCUUUGCUCUCUGCAAAUGAGUGCAGGGGACUUCAAAAAUUGGCUCUGCUGGAAUUUGGUGCUUAUUUUUCUACUCCUAGGUAAUUUGUGGCUUGUAAUAAAUCUGUUUUCUAGUUAUGCCAAAGGUGUGAGUUUUGUGUGGUUUUACUUGUUCUUCUUGUUCAGAGAAAUUUGGAUUAGGUAACUGCCAUUACCUCAAGACCCAGGACGCUUACAUGUGAAGACUUUUAAAAGCUGGCAUUGAAUUUCCUUUAAUGAAGAGGAAUUGUCCUUGUUUGUAAAACAAUAAAACUUGAGAAGAUAUUCUUCAGUAUAACAUGAAAAGUUAAUGGCAUGGGUACUGAGAAAAUGGAAAAGAGAGAGAGAGCCAGUAUUCUCUGUGAAAGCGAUGAACAGAUAUUAGGUAAAGAAUGGUGAAAAGAGUGAGAGCGAAGAGAGCAGGAAGGAGAAGACAAAUGGCCAAGUAACAUGACAGACAUCCUUGGACGAAAAUGGACAGUAAGAAACUACUGAAGGUGGGUCAAAGAAGUGUAAAGAUUGAGAACAUCUAAUUUUAAAUUUUAAGUUUUUUGAAGCCACGUAAAUACAUUCUUCUGUCACUUCAAAUCAUAAUUAAACAUAUCACAUAUGCAAAUACUAUGGUUGAGGAGUUUGUGGGGAUAUUCAAAGGAAAGAUGUUUCUUUUUGUUCUUGGUUUGUCACAGAACAGGGGACAGGAAAAUAGUUAUAGGGGAUCAGAUGCUAAUGACGUCAACAGUCCAGCGGGGCAGGCAGGCAGAGCUAGAGUAACUAUUAAGAUAUUAACGCCAGAGAACUCUCAGGAAUCUUGACGAGGGCGCUAGAUUUUCCACAGAACAUGGGAUAGAGUGCUUGAAUCAAUUUUUUCUGACUUUCAAAGGUCAAUAAAUACACUUAUCACACUAAUACUGUUAAGUUUUUCUAGCAUGUGAAAAGAUAAACAAAAUUCAUCCUCUUUGGGGUUCAGUUUAUAAGCAAGUUUUGGUUUUAUCAUUCAUCAAAGAGGUUUGUACUCAUUCAUGUGAAUAAUUUGAUUUAUUAAACUUAUCUCCCUAAGUAAGAUAGUUCAAUUGUGCAGUAAAUACUUAAAUCUUACUACUCUGACAAGAUCUCAGGAAAAAAUAAGAGUUAGAUGUAAGCUGUGAAAUGGACUAAGUCAGGAAAAGUCAUGUUUAAUGGCUAGAAGUUGUAUGAAGAAGGAGACCCAAGGACAUGUUUAAGUGUAGGUCACAGACUGGGCCUGCUGUGCUCCGUGUUGUAUGCACUCUGUUAUGAUGACCCCACUGAUGAUUAUCCUCCUCAGGACAGGAAAAGACAGGGACUGGCAGGUUGAGAGCUGAUCCACAAGGCAUUUACCAGUAGCCACAUCUGCCACAGAGACUGUGUUUUAUUACAGUCAAGGACAGGAGAAUGAAAGUUUGGGUGAUUGGUUCCAGUUCUAUCUUUUCCAUUAUUUUAUAUCUAGAGUACCCAAUAAUUGGUUGUCUUUUCCUUUGCUGGAUACAAAAGAUGUGUAAGUUCAGUUGAACUAUGCAGGUAUGCUAGAGAGAUUUGAAAUAGAAAAUAGGCAAAUUACCCCAGAAGCUAUUCUGCAGUAGGAUCAAACAAUACUCGUAAAGAAACAUAUUCCUAGUAGUGUGAUAACUAUUAAAACCAUCAUUUGUUCAUUGGAAUCAGCCAAAUACAUAAAUGGUUUAUAUGGUAUUUGUAAAGGGUUAUAACAUCCCUUUCUGAGAGGUAUUAUAAACGACUUCUGUUAACUCUCAAAGGCUCCACUCUUACCUCUCACCACGUGAGUAGCUAGUUUUGUGGAAAUAAUACCAAUUAAGUUCCAGGCUUCCAUUAAUUUUUGGUAACCUUGAUCAAGUUUUGCAACUUCCUCAGCUGUAAAAUUACAUGGAUAAAGUACAUGACCUCAAAGAUCACUUCCUGCCAUAGGUAUCAGGGAUGCUGAGUUCCUUCAUUCAGUUAGAUCAUAGGAGCAAGACAUUAGCUCUAAGGAGAACCACACUGGUAUUCUUUAGGAGAGUCAAGUAGAAAAAUUAUUUCCCAGCUUUUCCACUCACUAGCUUUACAAACUGCGAUAGAUCACUUAACCUCUCUAAACCUUAGUUUCUUUGUCUAUAAAAUGGUAAGAAAGUAAGGUAAUAAAGCAUCCUUUAGUGGUUGGUCAGAGGAUUAAAUGAGGUAAAGCCUGUAAAAGAUCUACUAUAAUAUUGGACACAUAAUAAGUUGUCAUUAAAUGAUUAUUUUCUUCUUUAUUUCAAAUAUAUUAUCAUGAUUUAAAUUGGAGCUUUGAUCAUCAGGCCUGCAAAUCAAGUAGGAUAUCACUGGAUUGCCCACCUAUUUUAUUUUCAGAAUCUCCCUAGUCAUUUAGUCAAAAAUUUCUGCAGCCAUCCCUUCUGACUGCUGUGUUAGUCCUGAUUCCUCACAUGGUAAUUAUGCACAUUUUGCUUCUGCCGGUUAAAUUGCCACUAACUGGCCUCUACCACUCUGGGAUUCUUCCCUCUCUAUUGAAAUAAUGGCUCUAGUUUCAGUUGUAGGAUCUCUCAUCAGCAUCCCUGGCAUUUGUAAACUAGACACAGACAGCUCCUUGCUUCAAAGAUGCAUGUGUUCCACUCACCAACGUUUGCCUCAAGCCCUUUGGUGAGGGGAUCUCUUCUAGGCUUUUUUGGAAACAGUAGUUGUGGGGUGGAUGGGUGGGUGGGUAACACACACCAUAAAUCUUCUCCAGAUUUUAUUUUGCAAAGUCUUUCACUAUGUUCCUUUAAUUUAUAUCAAAGGAUUUUUAGUGUCACAACUUGGCUUACAUGGGUUUAAUUUUCCUGCCAAACCAAUCAUUAGAACCACUCCCAAUUGCUAGAAGUAGCACACUAAGUCCAGAAUCUCUAAGUGGUUGACAGAGAUAUUACUCAUAUUGAUACAUUUAAACCCACAUUUAAAUUCUUCCUUUGUUGAUCAGAAUUCUCAGAAUCAACUUCUUCACUGAUUUCCAAUAUUUAUGCAUGUAUGAAUUAACAAAGUACUGUGAUUUUUUUCAUGUGUAACCCUUUCCUUCCCAAGUUUGGUUCUGUAAUUGGCGUUCUGGAGCAUACCCUUAUAUAUUCAACACAUAUCUGUGAAGUGUCAGCCUCAUGCCAGGUCCUGUUCUCAGAACUGGAAAUGUAAGAAACAAGGUGACUCCUUCAGAUCAGGAUGCAGCAACAUUCUCAAGGAAGAGGAAACCAUCUUUAUACCACAAAGGUCUAAAGUCUGAUUCCACCGACAAGGGAGGUUCCCUGGGUGGUUGGAGUUUCAGGAUACGCGCAGAACUUCAAAUCCUCCCGUAUAUCUCCAUUUCAGUUCCCCAGUGCUCAUUUGAUACUGACCAAUGUGCUGUACGAUGCAAUGUAUGGGAGCCCCAAGAACUCCAUGCUCCAGGACUCUCAACUCCAGUUCUCAAAGUUCUCUGGUACAAGAAGAACUAAAUCUUGCACUCAUUUCGUCCAUCAAGAUCUUGGAGGAGCAGAGGCUGUGUUUGUACCCUGCCAGCUCUUGAAUCUCCCCUGGUUAGAAAAGGAAAAUGGCAGUUGACUUGGAUUUGAGAAGCAGGCUGUCGACACAGAUUGAUGCCUAUUCUUUUUAAUAAAGUGUCUAGUGACAAUAAAUUAGCGCUUCUCACAUCCAUUCAUUAUGUACUUCAUGCACUGUAUGUGCUAGGCAAUAUGAUCCCCUAAAUCUUUACCCCAGAAGGUAUUUUAUCCUAGGAGACCAUAGGCAAUACAGAUUUUCCUCCUUAUAAUGACUGCUUAUUCAUCUAUCUUUUUGUCAUACCAUCUCUCGAAAAGUUUACUUCUUUGCAAAUGACUCUUUUCUUUACAAGUGUAAUGACAUUUUUUUUGUGCUUCAAAAUGUGCUAAAGAUAAAUAUUACAAGAAGUAAUAGUUCAGCAUUAUAUUUUCAGGCAAAGACAUACUCAUCAGUAGACUUGACAAAACAGUUUAUAGUCUAAGAAUAUUCUAUAGAGUUGUGUUUAGAUGAAAGCAAAAUUGUGCUCUGCAUACACAAACCAAGCGAAAAGAGAUGAUUCUUGAGUCUGUUUAGUGCAUGCACCGUUCCUGCAUUUUAAAAUACUCUUGUGUUUUGCUCUUAAAGUGGUUUCAAGAACAUUAGUUUUAAGUAUAGUUUUAGGUUGAAAAUUGGUGAAUAAAAUGAUGUAAAAAGAAGUGUGCCUCCAAGAAUGACUGCCUUGCACUCUUCCUCCACUAGCUGCCAUCUAUGUUCCAGUUUCCUCUUCCUCUUUUAGUGAGGACGUUAAACCUUCACUGCACUAAAUUUUAUAUGUAAACUCUUUAUUUUCAACUGUUGUUAUUAAUUACGUAGACUUGUUUUCAUUGUUCAAUUUAUAUAUUUUUCUAACAACUGAAAAUUGUUUGGAUAUUUUGGUUUGGGAUGAAACGAAUCAUAAUUUGUUCCAUCAAAAUUAAUAUAAUUUUCAAAAAAUUUCAUGGCUUUUCUUUGAGCAGCAAAGUUUUCAAGAAUGAAUUAAAGUUAU
rnacentral:lncRNA from 1 species